rnacentral:lncRNA from 1 species
ACCCUCUGUGACGUACUUCCUAGGCUGCAGCACCUAAACCAACUGAUUUCCUCAGGGAGACCAACAUCUCAUUCAAACCACGGCAGCCUGCAAAAGCUAGGCUUCGUUCUUAUGUGUGUGUCCAGGAUCUUUCGUGGGCCCAAAGAGCUGGAGCGGGUCUUUACUGACUUACCGCUGGUAUUUGCCACAGAAGCAGAAGCGAAGACCUCACAUCAUGAUGCUGGCUUCUGCUGCAUGUAAAGGCUAUGCUGUGGUGCUGUGAUAUGAGUUAUAUGUGCCAUAGCAUGCAGAGAAAGAAUAUUUGAUCAAGGACCAAGACAUCUUACAGAAGAAAGGGUUUACAGUUCCAGAGUGAUGAGCAUUCAUGGUGACAGAGUUGAAGCAUAAAGCAUGACAGCAGGUGACAGGCAAGACUACACAAGGAGGAAACUGAGAGUUCACACUUGACAAAGCAGAGAAUGGGAAUUGGAGGUCCCUUCAAGCCCACUGGUAAGCAGUGCUGAGUGCUGUUCGUGACUCUGGGUUCAGUGGAGGCUAG